AUUUUUAUAGCUUAAAAGCAAAAUAAAUCCAUACAUAUAGUAACAUAGAUAACCAGAGUAUGUAAUUUAAUUUACAAUGACAUGUGGGCCCCCGAAUGACCAAAGGUAACAAAGGUUGUGGAUCUACAAUUUCUGAAGAGGCGAGUCCAAUAAUAACCCUUGACGUAAUUAGCUAUUUACGGACUGUCCUGAUCCUGGAAUGAGUGGAAAGGAGAGUGGUGAGUUUAUAUAAACUUAGUGAGUAAACAAACAUCAUUUAAAAUAUCUAAAGUCGAGUAAAUUGAGACAACUUAAAAUAGUUCAUCGUAUUAUGAUUCAUAACAUUUCAAACUCAUUUCAACUAAAUAAAAUAAUUUCAUUCCACUCAAAUAAUCAACAUGGCUUAUGAAUUUCUUAAUAAUUUGGCUUGUGCCAAAACUCAUUCUUGGGGAUACCUUAGUCGGGGCAUCCAACUGAGUCCGCCAAGGCUGUUAAAGAAAAGUUCAUAUAUGCAUAAAACACAUUUUUACUUUUAAAAGCAUAGCCAAUCCUUGGCAUUGACUGAGUUCACCCUCACGUGGUGGUUUAGCGUGUAGUGAACUCUAAAGCUUUACCUCAAGAGAUACCCUCCGCGCCUCUCGUACCGAGGUAAAAUAUAACCGAGUUUACCGUUCCCCUCUUUAAUAAGCUGGUCCACGGAAACCCACAACUGCAGUGACUAAUCAAUAUCUCACAAAAUCAAUAAAAGUUUCGACAGUAUGACAUGAAAAUUAUAUUACUACCCAGCCUGUUAAAGCAAAACAAAUAGUUCAUACAAUUUCAACACAAAUUUCAAUUCAGCCAUUCA
rnacentral:lncRNA from 1 species